rnacentral:rRNA from 1 species
UACAGAGGUCCCAAGCGUUGUUCGGAUUCACUGGGCGUAAAGCGUGCGCAGGCGGUAAGUUAAGUCUGAUGUGAAAGCCCCGGGCUCAACCUGGGAAUGGCAUUGGAAACUGGCUUGCUAGAGUGUGGCAGAGGGGGGUGGAAUUCCGCGUGUAGCAGUGAAAUGCGUAGAGAUGCGGAGGAACACCGAUGGCGAAGGCAGCCCCCUGGGCUGACACUGACGCUCAGGCACGAAAGCGUGGGGAGCAAACAGG